CCUACGGGGGGCAGCAGUGGGGAAUAUUGGACAAUGGGGGGAACCCUGAUCCAGCCAUGCCGCGUGUGUGAAGAAGGCCCCCGGGUUGUAAAGCACUUUCAGUGAGGAAGAACGCCUGGUGGUUAAUACCCAUCAGGAAAGACAUCACUCACAGAAGAAGCACCGGCUAACUCCGUGCCAGCAGCCGCGGUAAUACGGAGGGUGCGAGCGUUAAUCGGAAUUACUGGGCGUAAAGCGCGCGUAGGUGGCUUGAUAAGCCGGUUGUGAAAGCCCCGGGCUCAACCUGGGAACGGCAUCCGGAACUGUCAAGCUAGAGUGAAGGAGAGGAAGGUAGAAUUCCCGGUGUAGCGGUGAAAUGCGUAGAGAUCGGGAGGAAUACCAGUGGCGAAGGCGGCCUUCUGGACUGACACUGACACUGAGGUGCGAAAGCGUGGGUAGCAAACAGGAUUAGAUACCCUUGUAGUC
rnacentral:rRNA from 1 species